rnacentral:rRNA from 1 species
AAUGGAGGAAACUCUGAUCCAGCAAUGCCGCGUGUGUGAUGAAGGCCCUAGGGUUGUAAAGCACUUUCAACGGUGAAGAUGAUGACGGUAGCCGUAGAAGAAGCCCCGGCUAACUUCGUGCCAGCAGCCGCGGUAAUACGAAGGGGGCGAGCGUUGUUCGGAAUUAUUGGGCGUAAAGGGCGCGCAGGCGGUUUGGAUAGUUAGACGUGAAAGCCCUGGGCUCAACCUAGGAACUGCGUUUAAUACUGCCAAACUAGAGAACUAGAGAGGAUAGCGGAACUCCCAGUGUAGAGGUGAAAUUCGUAGAUAUUGGGAAGAACAUCAGUGGCGAAAGCGGCUGUCUGGCUAGUUUCUGACGCUGAGGCGCGAAAGCGUGGGGAGCAAACAGGAUU